UACAGAGGGUGCGAGCGUUGUCCGGAAUCACUGGGCGUAAAGGGCGCGUAGGUGGUGGCUUAAGCGUGCGGUGAAAGCUCGGGGCUCAACCCCGAGUCGGCCGUGCGAACUGGGCUCACUGGAGCAUAGUAGAGGCAGGUGGAAUUCCGGGUGUAGCGGUGGAAUGCGUAGAGAUCCGGAAGAACACCAGUGGCGAAGGCGGACCC
rnacentral:rRNA from 1 species